UACGUAGGAGGCGAGCGUUGUCCGGAAUCACUGGGCGUAAAGGGCGCGUAGGUGGCGACCCAAGUCGAUGGUGAAAGCUCGCCGCUCAACGGCGAGUCGGCCACCGAUACUGGGUUGCUGGAGCACUGUAGAGGCUCAUGGAAUUCCGGGUGUAGCGGUGGAAUGCGUAGAUAUUCGCAAGAACACCAGUGGCGAAGGCGGCUCACUGGCCCGGUACUGACGCUGAGGUGCGAAAGCGUGGGGAGCAAACAGG
rnacentral:rRNA from 1 species